rnacentral:rRNA from 1 species
UGGGGAAUAUUGCACAAUGGGCGCAAGCCUGAUGCAGCCAUGCCGCGUGUGUGAAGAAGGCCUUCGGGUUGUAAAGUACUUUCAGUCGGGAGGAAGGUGGUAAGGUUAAUAACCUUAUCAAUUGACGUUACCCGCAGAAGAAGCACCGGCUAACUCCGUGCCAGCAGCCGCGGUAAUACGGAGGGUGCAAGCGUUAAUCGGAAUUACUGGGCGUAAAGCGCACGCAGGCGGUUUGUUAAGUCAGAUGUGAAAUCCCCGGGCUCAACCUGGGAACUGCAUCUGAUACUGGCAAGCUUGAGUCUCGUAGAGGGGGGUAGAAUUCCAGGUGUAGCGGUGAAAUGCGUAGAGAUCUGGAGGAAUACCGGUGGCGAAGGCGGCCCCCUGGACGAAGACUGACGCUCAGGUGCGAAAGCGUGGGGAGCAAACAGG